CUCAUAGUUGUUACCUUCGAUUUCUCCUAUGGGAUUUCGAAACCUCUGCAACAUCCUCAGGUUCUUCUCAAUUCCUCACUCUUGUUGUUCCACCUUUCUCUUCUCUCACUUCUUCUCCAAUACCCUACCUUCAACCACACCCUUCUUCACCCUUUUCCACUCACCAAGUUCCUUGCUUUUCUCAAUUGGGUGUUCAUCAUUUCACUCCCCCAAACACCCAUUUGCGAGUUCUUCAACUAAAUACUCUGAUUUUGAUUAUGGGUACUCGUGCUUGAAGCUUGGUUUGCAAUUGCAUACCCGUAGGUCUUUUUGCUCGUAUCCUUAUUCUUCUUACAAGGGUAGACCGUAUGCUACUUCGAAGCAAGUUUCUGAGAUCAUUGCAUUGAUUCGUGAGGGUGUGAAUGAUUUGGGGUCAAAGUUGGAUAGGAUGAAUGUGUCUUUGUCUAUGGCAUCAAUUUUUGAAAUUUUUCAUAAAUUAGCAAGUGAGAGAGUGUCAGCAUUGUUGUUCUUUGAUUGGCUUAAAGGUUCACAUCCUGAGCUUUGUUGUGAUCCAGACAUAGGUGGUUUGGUUGUUAAUAAUUGUGGGUUAUUGGGAGAUUAUGAGGCAAUGGUUCCCAUUUUGACUGAAUUUAACCAUAAAGGGAUGCAUUUGAAAAGGAAUGCAUUUGGGUUCUUGAUGGUUUUAGGUUUUGACAAGGCUUCUAGUAUGGAAUGUGUUAGGAAAAUUAUGGAUGUGCUCAAUGAGGUUGGUGGGGUAUGUCAAAGUUCUGGAGUUCAGUUGUUGAUAGAGAUGUUCAGUGUUCAGGGUUCUUUUGAGAUAGCUGAAUUUUUUAUUGGAACAGAUAGGAGGAAGGUGAAUCAUUAUAAUGUCUUGAUGAGGACAAUGUGCAAGAGAGGUGAUUAUGAAAGAGCAGUAGAUUUGGUAAAGGAGAUGAAGAGAAGUGGUUGUGAACCAAACAGAACGACUUAUAAUUUGUUGGUCAGUUGUCUAUGCAAGAGUGGUAAAUUUGAUGAAGCUUGUCAAGUGCUCGAAAUUAUGGAAAAAGACUAUGGUUUACCCGAUGCAAGUACCUUUGAUAUUCUUGUUAACUUACUAUGUAAACAACGGCAGUUUGGUUUAGCUUUGAAGUUUCUUGAUAAAAUGACUUUGAAGGGUAUUGAACCUUGUAUUUCAACUCAUGCCGUGGUAAUUAAGUCUUAUUUUGAAUCAGGAGAAUAUGAGGAAGCACAUAAGUAUGUUGUUGAUUCUGCUGUUAAGCAGAGCUAUUCCAGCAAUGCAAACUACAGCUUACUUGCUACUCUUCAUUUGAAGAAAGGAAAUGUGCUACUUGCCCAGAAUAUUCUUCAUGAGAUGAUGGACAAAGGUCUUAAACCUAAUUUUUCUGUGUUCAUGAAGAUAAGGAAGCGUCUCGAGAAGAAAAAUAAAAAAGAUUUGUCUUUGGAAUUAUUAAGAAGGUACUCAAGCUUGAUUGAAAAAUGAAAAAGUAGCUGGCUUUUGUGUCACAUGAUGCCAUGGUGUCAUUCGAUGUUUGCUGAUUAGUAACUCUUGAUUCAGAGAGGUUCGGCAAAUGAUAUUCGCUUCUCCAAUUUUUUCCUGGUAUUCAGGGAUGGGAUGAGGGGUGAUAAGAAACAAUAUGUAAGCAGCCUGACUUAAUAUUUAAAUACUUUCAUUCUUACAAACCUCUAUGAUUUGGGUGUCAUCCUGAUGCUGCAACUCAAAGCUUAUGGUGUGUACUUUUUCCCACGAACCAGUUCACUUUGAUGUCCCCAGGUACGUUUUUUUCAGUGAUCUUUCUUAUUACUAUUAAUUUUUAUUUUCCUACAUCACUAUGAUGUCCACCAGCCACCCACCCAUCAGGGUUCACUGGAUUUUUUCCCUAUAUUUCCUUGAUGAAAACCCUGACUUUAACCCAACGAGGUUAGGUAGCUUGUGAUUCACCACAUUUCUUGGGCAUCUUGUGGCUUUGCUAUUAGGAUCGCGGUCUUUUUCUUUUCCUUAUUUGUCUAAUGCUUCCUUGUGUAGUCAGGCAGAGCUUGCUGAAGCGUUCUUUAACAUGUACUGGCCAAUGUGAUCUGAAUGCCAAUUUUUUUUUUUAAAUUUAAGUAUUAGAUCUCAUUACUGCAUCCCUAAGAAUCAAGUGUACUCUAAAGAAAAUAAAAUGAUUUAUUUUCUGCAGUAUCUAUAGAGAGAAAGCACACAUAGUCUUCUCUGGGUAUGGUUUUCCUAGAGUUUUGAAUAAAAACAGUGAAACUUCUGUCAUUUAAUCUUGCUGACAGUAAGCAGAAGGUAAUGACAUCAGCAGGGGGAUAUAUUAACUACUGGAUGAUUCUUGUGGGAUUUAUGUGAUUGAUCACUUGCUUUCUGUCCUUAUUUAUGAAUUCCAAUAGAAAGAAACUUAUGUAUUUGGUAAAAUUAAGGGUGUGACAUGUAAUAAAUUUCAUGAUUAUUUGCUUUGAAGUUUGGUCGUCGGAAGAACAUAAGCGAGCAUCUUUUGUCUUCACUUGCAUAACCUAAUAAGUUUGUGAUAAAACACCACCUUUAAGAAUUAAGGGUGUACACAAGGAAGUGGCACAGGGAUCACUUACCCCUGCUGAGUCAACCCAAAAAAAAAAAGUUAGAGUGGAGUAUCCCUCAAGUUGUUGAGGAUGAAUCGGUUAGAGGCAGGGGAUAAAUGAGAGUUGGCAAGUGAGAGGAGGCAUCUUUGGAAACCUUGGACUUUGGGACAGAAUUCAGAGCCUCUCUAAUUGUUUGAGGUUAUUUUUCUGUCUGUGUUCUUGGUUCCUAACAGUUUGUUUAAAAUGCUGUUUUUUUUAUAGCUUUUGAUUUUCAAGAGGAGAGCGUAAAAUGCUUAAGGCAUAUCAUAUACAUUUGUCCGACAUGAAGAUGUAUUCUUUCCUUAGCUAGAUUUCAUCCUGUCAGGACUUUAUUUUGGGACUUGAAAUCUUGAUACCAAUGUUCCGUGUCAAAAAAUGUUAAGAUAUAUACACAACAUUCGGUGCUUAGACUCAGAAUUUCUGCAUUCUAAAAUUUUUUCUUUCAAUCCGUCCUGAUUCCUCUUGCAGCUCAACUCUAAGGUUAAGAAAGCUAGAUUAAUUUAUUUUAAGGAGUCAUUGGCACAAGUGAUAAGGAACUUGUAUCCCUUAACCAAAGAUUUUGAGUUCGAGCCUGGGAAUGGAAAAAAAUGGUCUUGAGAGAGCCGCCCCUUAUAUAGGGUCCGACAGUGCUCGAACUGGACUAAUCUGAAAGAUGAACCGGUUGAGGAGACUCAAAAAAUCGCUAUUGUUAUUUGUGAUCUACUAUAUCUAUCUAAUUAUCUCAUUUGUUCUUUUAUGGCUGUUACCAUUUUUUUUUCCAUGGUGAAUUACUUCAUAAGUUAUAAUGCCAAACUCUCACGAACGCAAAAUAAAUUAAACUAAAACAAAUCAGUCCCUGUUGUCUUGGAAUACAUUUAUUAAUCUCUAUUCAAUAAAUGAUGCCCGUCAACAUGUUUCUUAUUUAUUCACUUUAGUGGUUGAUGUUUCUAAGUCUGUUGUUUUUAAAUCUGGUCAUGAUUGGUCUCUCACCGACAUGGUUCUCUUCCUGGAAGAGGAUAGUGAUACCUUUUAUUGAAUAUUUUUUCGGAAGUACUUUGAGGGUAUACCUUGCUUGAAGGUUUACUUGGCUUAGAGUGACUUGGCUGGUUCGAAAGUGGAUAAUCAGGUUCUUUCUUCCUACGUGGCUGUUGCUGGUUGUCAGGUUCUCCUUUGAUGUCAUAGUUAUUUCUCAUCUUAUUAAGGCAUUUUUGAAAUUGUAGGAUUAUAAUUAGGGAAGGAAGAAAAGAGAUAUAAAGAUAAUAAAUAAUAUUCCCUUGCGUACAAUGCUGUGAUGUAAAAGACAAAACACUACUUUGAUAUGGUAUAGAGUUGUGUUUCUUGUCUUUUGUUUUGUUCUGUUUUAUUUUCUAUUCUGUUUUUUUGGUGGUGUUAUGUUCAUGAUUGCUUUAAGGAUGUUGCUAUUCGAAUUUUGCCAGCCUUAUUGCCUGCCUAGUUUUAUUCCUUUUUAGGUUUAUAGGGUAGGAAUGCAGUGGUUUUGCAGCUUGGAUGGUGGGGGAUAUCUGUCAUCUCAAUAUGAUUAAGGUGGCUUGGUGUAUCUCCACUGAUAAUUAGAGGGCGAACCUUAGAGCAGCGGUAAGAUUGCUUCUUGUAACUAGAAGAUCAUGAGUUCGAGUUUAAGAAACAAUCUCUUUGUAAAAAGACAAGGGUAACACAACAUACAAUCGACUUUGCCCCUAUCCUCGUUAGUCGGGAAGCCUUGUGCACCGAAUUUUGUCCUUUUUUAUUUAGUAUAUGACAUUAGAAUUAGUUCAAGACAUUUGGAUAUUUUUAAAAUAUUAUUUGACUUAGUUAUUUUGACAUUAUCUACACAAUUAAGUUAUUUUCAUCAUUUUCUAUGUAAAUUUGUUUUUGUC